GAUGAACGCUAGCUGCAGGCUUAACACAUGCAAGUCGAGGGACCGGCGCACGUGUGAGUAACACGUAUCCAACCUGCCCUUUACUCGGGGAUAGCCUUUCGAAAGAAAAAUUAAUACCCAAUAUAAAGGAUGGGGAUGCGUUGCAUUAGGUUGUUGGUAAGGUAACGGCUCACCAAGCCUUCGAUGGAUAGGGGUUCGGAGAGAAAGGUCCACGACAUUGGAACUGAGACACGGUCCAAUCUGGUACGGGGGGGAGCGGUGAGGUAGACUGGGGAAUGAGCGCUAGCCUGAACCAGCCAAGUAGAGUGAAGGAUGUAUGGGUAUUAGACGUCAAUUUCUUUUAUAGAAGAAGCUGUAUUAUAUGAAGAAGGAUCGGCUAACUCCGUGCCAGCAGCCGCGGUAAUUC
rnacentral:rRNA from 1 species